CGGACGGCUGAGUAAUGAACAGGAAUGUACCUCGAGUGGGGGAUAGCUCCGGGAAACCGGAGGUAAUACCGCAUAUGCUCGCAAGAGCAAAGCCGCAAGGCGCCACGAGAGCAGCCUGUUUCCUAUCAGGUAGUUGGUGGGGUAAUUGCCUACCAAGCCUAUGACGGGUAGUUGGUCUGAGAGGAUGACCAGCCAGAUCGGGACUGAGACACGGCCCGA
rnacentral:rRNA from 1 species